rnacentral:lncRNA from 1 species
GCGCAGAGCCGCCCGCCGCUCCUCACCCGGGCCGGGAGAAGUCGCCCCCCGCACCCCCCCACGAGUCCGUCCUCUCCAUUCAAGUUCGCCGGGCCUUGCCGCCGGGAUCGGGGAUGGCCCCCAGCUGCCCGCCCAGCUCUGCGUCCUGUUUCCAGCCACCGCGCAGAAAUUUAGGUCAAGGACGUCGGGAGCAAACCCACACCCUGGAGCUCUUCGGGAGGCCCCCGAGACCCCCCCACCCCAGGAUCGGGAUGGAGGGGGGGCUUCAGGAUGGCGGAGAACCCCCAGCACAAACAUCAGCCACAAGUUUUAUUUUGCCUUCGCGCUGCAAGUUCGGCGCUCGCUCCACACCGGCACGUCCUGCGCGGCUCCCCGCCCUUCCCCGCAGAGCCCUUCUCACUCUCUGAAAUUACCGUGUAAUUUCUGUGUCCUUGCUAAUCACCUGCUACCCACUUCCGUCCACACAAGCAGGGACCUCACCUGUCGUGUUCACUGCUCGGGCCCAACACACAGUGGCUGGAAGACAUUGGCUGAAGAAGUGAUUUUAGACAGAAAGAGAAAGCAACAGUUGAGAUGAACACAAAGUGCGAAUGAAAUGUACAGAUAUGAAUGCAUUCACACACACAUAAAAUCAAGCUACAGAGAAAUUUUUUCUUUCUUUUUUUUUGCGGGGGGGGGGCAGUACUGCCCUGGCAGUACCCAGGGCCUUUUCCCUAACUAUUAUCUCAGUCUCUUUAAAUUUUGAGAUAGGUUCUCACUAGGUAGCUACAUUUCCCAGGCUGGACCCAAACCUGGAAUCUUCCUGCUUCAGCCUCCCAGAGUGCUGGGAUUGCAGGUAUGUGCCUUCAAGCCCAGCUUCAUCUCAUCUUAUAUCUCUCUGUAUAUGCCAGUGUCUAGUCAGUAUCUCUCUCUCUCUCUCUCUUUCUCUCUCUCUCUCUCUCUCCUCUCACACACACACACAAUCUCUGGUCAGAUGCUGUGGAACUCUGGGCAGCAUGAUCCCUUUGUAUUCAGUGUCCCUGUUUAUACAGUUGUGCAGCAUGCAACACGGUGGCCCUGCCAACUGGGCUGCAUGUGGGUAAUGGAUCUUUGGAAGAACCAGAGACUAAAAUAGCUGACUGCCUGUGGGGAAGAGAUAUAGGUGACUGGGAACACAGGUGUGGAGGAGACUGCACAUCGCAGCCUUGGUGUCCCCUCAGAUUGGAAUUAAGUACUUGUGGAAUAGAAUAUUCUUCUGCCCUGAAAAUGAAUAGAGGAGUUGUAAAAAAAAAUACUCAUGUACAAAAAUAAUAAUACGUGCUAGAGAAUUGGGGAAAUAGACAAACACUGAGAAGUAUAACAGAGAGAAUUACAAUUAAGAAUGAUAUAUUUUUUCCUGGUCUCUGGUUGGCUAUAUGUCUGUCCUGAGUACUUUGAAGGUCAGCAUCAUAUAGAGCAGCAAGGUGCAAACCAUAACUCCAGGAGAAAGGUGGCCUAGCACUUGUUUUUGUUAAUAAAGUUUUAUUGAAACACAAUCACAGAUUUGGUUACAUAUUAUCAAUGGGUGAUCUCCUGCCAUAGCAACACAUUGAGUAGUUGUGAUAAAGGCCAUGUGGUACUCAAAGACAAAAAUAUUUACUAUCUGGCCCCUUAAGGAGGAAGUCUACUAAUUCCUAGUGCAGGAAAAUGCAGGCUUAGGAAUGGGGCUCAGAUCUUAGCUCCAUUGCUGAACAGUCAAUGGGAGAAGGUUAAUUCUCGUAUCUAUGAAUCAUAUCAUCAUCCAGGACCUGCAUUUGUGAGUAUUUCAGGAUUUGCUCCUUUUUUUUGGACAUAGGGUCUAUAUUAGCCCUGGUUGGCCUCAAACUUGCAGCAAUCCUCCUGCCUCAGCCUCUCAAGUGCUAGGCUUACAGGUGUGCACCAUCACACCCAGCCUUCCUAGUCACUUUUUAAACAGUGUCAAAACCAUACUGUAUAUUAUUGCCACCGUAUUUGACUCCUACUUUUAUUUCACCCAACUUUAUAUCACAAGUAUUUUUCUAUUAAAAUUAUUCAAACAUUUUCUCUCUCUUUCCAGAACAUAUGUCUGCAUCCUUAACCCUAUAAGACCUUUGAGACAGACCUAAUUUCUGACCAAAUCUUUCUUAAUGGCCUUUUCUGUUGUACAAGUGAAUUCAUAGAUAAUAUGCCCACAAACAAUUCCUCGAGGAACAAAUGAAAGUGGUGUUCAAUGUAUACUCUAAAGGAUAAAUACAUAUAUGCAAAUUUGCAUUUCAAUGUAUGGAUGCCCUGGCAUGAUUCUACUAGAAGACACUGGGACAGAGUGAGAUGACAACAAUUAGCUAUAAUGAAUGCAUUCGUUUGGAUUUAGAAUAUAAGAAAACCCAGGAGCAGAAAUACAGAUGUUUGCCACAAUUAGACCGAAGUUAGGAUAAAUGAUAACAAACAGGGCUUGUUUGCAUAUAAGUAACAAAAGGGUACAUCCUCCCCCCAGCUCCAAAGGUACUGCCAAUGGAACCCAGUCUCGUGCACGGUAGGCAAGCCCUCUACCACUGAACUAUGGCCCCAGCCCUUUAAAAAAUGUAUGUAUUUAUUUAAAACAGGGUCUCACUAAAUUACCCAGGCUGGCCUUGAAUUUACAAUCCUCUUGCCUCAGCCUCCUAAGCAGCUGGGAUAAUGGGUGUGUGCUGUGGCACCCUGCUCAGAGGGAUAUAAUCUUAGUUAAAGUAAGAAUUAUCAGGGCCAGGGAUUUAGCUCAAUGGCGCUGCACCUGCCGCAAAAGCGCAAGGUCCUGAGUUUGAUCCCCGGAACCGGGGAAAAAAAAAUUUACCAAGGUGAAUGAAAAUCAUCAAAGUUGAGGAGUUGAAGAAGAUACUCUCACAAAUAAACUGAGCCUCAUUAAGAAGUGAAGCAUUAAAACAAUCUUGUGAUUAUCUUGAAGUACAUUCAAAACUCACAGGAGACCCAGAACAGUUACUUGUUUUGUUUGUUUAUUUUGAAUCCAGUGCCCACUGAGCUAAUCCCUAGCUGGCUUUUUAAAAUUUUGAAACAAGGUCUUGCUAAACUGCCCAAACUGGCCUUGACCUUGUCAUCCUUCUGGCUCAGCCUCCUUGGAAUCUGGGAUUGCAGUGGACAGGACUCUCCAGGGCAUUAUAGGGAUCUAACGCUCAGACUCCCCACUAAAUGCUCAUAAUGGCUCCUGUCUCCAAUGACAACCCAAACAAUUCCCUUGAAUUUUUAAAACACCCCCAAAGGGCAGUACCCACCCCCUUGAGAAGCACAUGUACAUGUGAAAGCAAUUUGAAAAGUUAAAAGCACUUUUCACACGCACAGUGUGAUGAGUGUAGGAAACUGCAGUGAAUUUUCCAAGGAUACUGUAUUUUGCACUAUAUAAAUGAAGGCUGUUGAAUUAGAAAACCGACUUUUCUGUAAAGCCAACUUCCAUUUCUGAAAAUGUGCCAAAUGAAUCAAUAUACUCAUUGAAAACAACUAAAAAUUCUGGAUUAAGAAUCAUUUCUUAAGAGUACCAAUGAAUAAGCAAGCAAUCAAGAGAAGGAUUCUUAGGUGAGGACUAAGCCAGUGGCACAGAUGUACGGACACCAGACACAGGGAGCCAAGAACUCAAUAAACCGUCUCCCAGCAUAGGGUGGGACCUCCCCAAGGCCAAGGCUGUGCCCUCAGUGGACGCUGAUGUAGGAACCCGCACUUUUGAGUCUCCCUCCAACCCGCACUCGAGCGAGCGUAAGGUGAGUCUGUGUGUCCCCGUAAAGACACAAGUGGCACGAAACUACACCACAUGCUGUGCCGGAAGUGGCCUGCCUGCGGCAGAAACUCCCUUUGGGAGGCCUGGGUGGAGAAUGUGACGGGAGGGCGUGGUCAGGAAGAGGAAGGCCUUGGAGCUGGGCAGAGGCAGCACUGGGUCCACCGCAGAGCAAGCUGGACCUAUCCCUGACCCCAGAGCAUUCCCACGUGUGAAACAGCGAGAACGAUCCGUGAAAAGUGAAGGGGUGGGGGAGAUACUAACUAAACAUACAAUGGGCUAAGGCACCAACUAAAAACAAGAAGCACUGCAGAGCUGGACCAAACCUGCAAGACUUCAGAUCCUGGAAUAAUAAGAGGAAGAUGAGACAGUAACCAUUGUUAAUAUGUUUAAUAAAAAUAAAAUGUGCUCUUGAAAACACAGGCAAGAAAAAGAACUAAAAGGAAAGAAUUCAGCAAAGUUAUUAGGUAUAAAGUAAAUAUAAAAACCAAUUGAAUUUCACUCCGUGUGGGGGUGCAUAUCUGUAAUUCCAGCCCUCAGGAGGCUGAGGCAGGAAGAUUAUGGCAAGUUCAAGGCCAGCCUAGGCUACAUAGUGAGUUCAGGGCCAGCCUGGACUAUGUAGCAAGACCCUGUCUCAAAAAACCAAAGAGAAAAAAGAAAAGAAAAGAAUGCAAUGAAUAGAUUU